GGCGUGUGUGAUGAAGUGUUGUCCUUAGGGCGGCAGUGGCAGCCGUUUUGGCCUGUUUCUGCUGCCGUCCGAUGUUGGGCUCGUCAUAGUUACACUGACACGUU